rnacentral:sRNA from 1 species
CAGCAGAAAGGCUGUUCCUUCAUUCCUCCAGGGCAAGCUGCUGCGCACCAUCCUCUUCGGGGUCAAGAGGGUGACUGCGAACAACCUGGAGACCUUCAUCUUCAUCCUCUUCCUCCUGGUGUUUGCCAUCGCUGCAGCUGCCUAUGUAUGGAUUGAAGGUAAGCGCCAUGGCCUCUGUGGUCCCCUGCGCCCACCCUCCGAGGCUCCAGGCUGGCAGGCCCUGUCUCCACAGGUACCAAGGACCCCAGCCGGAACCGCUACAAGCUGUUUCUGGAGUGCACCCUGAUCCUCACCUCGGUCGUGCCUCCUGAGCUGCCCAUCGAGCUGUCCCUGGCCGUCAACACCUCCCUCAUCGCCCUAGCCAAGCUCUGUGAGUGUGUCAAAUGGGAUGGGGUGCCGAGUGGGCUGGGGCCAAGCAGGACCCCUGACCUCACUCCCGCCUCUAGACAUGUACUGCACAGAGCCCUUCCGGAUCCCCUUUGCUGGCAAGGUCGAGGUGUGCUGCUUUGACAAGACGGGGACGUUGACCAGUGACAGCCUGGUGGUGCGCGGUGUGGCCGGGCUGAGAGACGGGAAGGAGGUGACCCCAGUGUCCAGCAUCCCUGUAGAAACACACCGGGCCCUGGCCUCGUGCCACUCGCUCAUGCAGCUGGACGACGGCACCCUCGUGGGUGACCCUCUAGAGAAGGCCAUGCUGACGGCCGUGGACUGGACGCUGACCAAAG